GCCUUCGUGGUGUAGUGGUCAGCAUGCUCGUUGUGUAACUGAGAGGUCCGUGGUUCGAUUCCCGGCGAAGGCG
rnacentral:tRNA from 1 species